GGAGUUAGCCGGUGCUUCUUCUGUGAGUGAUGUCCUUCCUGCCGGCUAUUAACCCGCAGGCCUUCUUCCUCACUGAAAGUGCUUUACAACCCGAAGGCCUUCUUCACACACGCGGCAUGGCUGGAUCAGGGUUGCCCCCAUUGUCCAAUAUUCCCCACUGCUGCCUCCCGUAGGAGUCUGGGCCGUGUCUCAGUCCCAGUGUGGCUGAUCAUCCUCUCAGACCAGCUACGGAUCGUCGCCUUGGUGAGCCGUUACCUCACCAACCAGCUAAUCCGACAUAGGCUCAUCCGAUAGCGCGAGGCCCGAAGGUCCCCCGCUUUCCCCCGUAGGGCGUAUGCGGUAUUAGCCUGGGUUUCCCCAGGUUAUCCCCCACUACCGGGCAGAUUCCUAUGCAUUACUCACCCGUCCGCCGCUCGCCACCAGGGAGCAAGCUCCCCGUGCUGCCGCUCGACUUGCAUGUGUUAGGCCUGCCGCCAGCGUUCAAUCUGACGACGAGUACACUAACUCGACGACGUAGACGGCGGCGUCGGACGACGGCGCUAG
rnacentral:rRNA from 1 species